GUGUAGCCGGGCUGAGAGGUUGAACGGCCACAUUGGGACUGAGACACGGCCCAAACUCCUACGGGAGGCAGCAGUAGGGAAUUUUCGGCAAUGGAGGAAACUCUGACCGAGCAACGCCGCGUGAACGAUGAAGUAUUUCGGUACGUAAAGUUCUUUUAUUAGGGAAGAAUAAAUGAUGGAAAAAUCAUUCUGACGGUACCUAAUGAAUAAGCCCCGGCUAACUAUGUGCCAGCAGCCGCGGUAAUACAUAGGGGGCAAGCGUUAUCCGGAAUUAUUGGGCGUAAAGGGUGCGUAGGCGGUUAAAUAAGUUUAUGGUCUAAGUGCAAUGCUCAACAUUGUGAUGCUAUAAAAACUGUUUAGCUAGAGUAAGAUAGAGGCAAGUGGAAUUCCAUGUGUAGUGGUAAAAUGCGUAAAUAUAUGGAGGAACACCAGUAGCGAAGGCGGCUUGCUGGGUCUUUACUGACGCUGAGGCACGAAAGCGUGGGGAGCAAACAGGAUUAGAUACCCUGGUAGUCCACGCCGUAAACGAUGAGUACUAAACGUUGGGUAAAACCAGUGUUGAAGUUAACACAUUAAGUACUCCGCCUGAGUAGUACGUACGCAAGUAUGAAACUUAAAGGAAUUGACGGGACUCCGCACAAGCGGUGGAUCAUGUUGUUUAAUUCGAAGGUACCCGAAAAACCUCACCAGGUCUUGACAUGCUUCUGCAAAGCUGUAGAAACACAGUGGAGGUUAUCAGUUGCACAGGUGGUGCAUGGUUGUCGUCAGCUCGUGUCGUGAGAUGUUGGGUUAAGUCCCGCAACGAGCGCAACCCUUAUUGUUAGUUACCAGCACGUAAUGGUGGGGACUUUAGCAAGACUGCCAGUGAUAAAUUGGAGGAAGGUGGGGACGACGUCAAAUCAUCAUGCCCCUUA
rnacentral:rRNA from 1 species